rnacentral:rRNA from 1 species
GACGAACGCUGGCGGCGUGCUUAACACAUGCAAGUCGAACGGUAAGGCCUUUCGGGGUACACGAGUGGCGAACGGGUGAGUAACACGUGGGUGAUCUGCCCUGCACUUCGGGAUAAGCCCGGGAAACUGGGUCUAAUACCGGAUAGGACUGCGCGGUGCAUGCCGUGUGGUGGAAAGAUUUAUCGGUGCAGGAUGGGCCCGCGGCCUAUCAGCUUGUUGGUGGGGUAAUGGCCUACCAAGGCGACGACGGGUAGCCGGCCUGAGAGGGCGACCGGCCACACUGGGACUGAGACACGGCCCAGACUCCUACGGGAGGCAGCAGUGGGGAAUAUUGCACAAUGGGCGCAAGCCUGAUGCAGCGACGCCGCGUGAGGGAUGACGGCCUUCGGGCUGUAAACCUCUUUCAGCAGGGACGAAGCGUGAGUGACGGUACCUGCAGAAGAAGCACCGGCCAACUACGUG